GAUGAACGCUGGCGGCGUGCCUAAUACAUGCAAGUCGAGCGAACAGAUGAGGAUCUUGCUCCUCUGACGUUAGCGGCGGACGGGUGAGUAACACGUGGAUAACCUACCUAUAAGACUGGGAUAACUUCGGGAAACCGGAGCUAAUACCGGAUAAUAUAUUGAACCGCAUGGUUCAAUAGUGAAAGACGGUUUUGCUGUCACUUAUAGAUGGAUCCGCGCCGCAUUAGCUAGUUGGUAAGGUAACGGCUUACCAAGGCAACGAUGCGUAGCCGACCUGAGAGGGUGAUCGGCCACACUGGAACUGAGACACGGUCCAGACUCCUACGGGAGGCAGCAGUAGGGAAUCUUACGCAAUGGGCGAAAGCCUGACGGAGCAACGCCGCGUGAGUGAUGAAGGUCUUCGGAUCGUAAAACUCUGUUAUUAGGGAAGAACAAAUGUGUAAGUAACUAUGCACGUCUUGACGGUACCUAAUCAGAAAGCCACGGCUAACUACGUG
rnacentral:rRNA from 1 species